GAUGAACGCUAGCGGCAGGCCUAACACAUGCAAGUCGAGGGGUAGAAGGAGCUUGCUCCUUUGAGACCGGCGCACGGGUGCGUAACGCGUAUGCAAUCUACCUUGUACAGGGGAAUAGCCCAGAGAAAUUUGGAUUAAUGCCCCAUAGUAUAUAACCUUCGCAUGUUGGUUAUAUUAAAGUUCCAACGGUACAAGAUGAGCAUGCGUCCCAUUAGUUAGUUGGUAAGGUAACGGCUUACCAAGACGAUGAUGGGUAGGGGUCCUGAGAGGGAGAUCCCCCACACUGGUACUGAGACACGGACCAGACUCCUACGGGAGGCAGCAGUGAGGAAUAUUGGUCAAUGGUCGCAAGACUGAACCAGCCAUGCCGCGUGCAGGAAGACGGUCCUAUGGAUUGUAAACUGCUUUUAUGCAGGAAGAAACCCUCCCACGUGUGGGAGCUUGACGGUACUGUAGGAAUAAGGAUCGGCUAACUCCGUG
rnacentral:rRNA from 1 species